rnacentral:rRNA from 1 species
GACGAACGCUGGCGGCGUGCCUAAUACAUGCAAGUAGGACGCAGUUGCGAACGGGUGAGUGACGCGUAGGUAACUACCUAUUAGAGGGGGAUAACUAUUGGAAACUAUAGCUAAUACCGCAUACUAGUAGAUGGACCUGCGUUGUAUUAGUUAGUAGGUAGGGCAAAGGCCUACCUAUGCAACGAUACAUAGCCGAGCUGGGAGGGUGGUCGGCCAACCUUGGAACUGGAAACGGCCCCGGACCCCAAGGGAGGGAGCCGGAGGGGAACUUCGGCAAAGGGGGGAAACCUGACCGAGCAACGGCGCGGGAGUGAAGAAGGUGUUUGGGUCGGAAAGCUUUGUUGUUUAGGAAGCGGUACUUAACCAGAAAGGGACGGCUAACUACGUGCCAGCAGCCGCGGUAAUAC